rnacentral:rRNA from 1 species
UACAGAGGUCUCAAGCGUUGUUCGGAUUCAUUGGGCGUAAAGGGUGCGUAGGCGGCGCGGUAAGUCGGGUGUGAAAUCUCGGGCUUAACUCCGAAACUGCAUUCGAUACUGCCGUGCUUGAGGACUGGAGAGGAGACUGGAAUUCCCGGUGUAGCGGUGAAAUGCGUAGAUAUCGGGAGGAACAUCUGUGGCGAAAGCGGCUCACUGGACCACAACGUGACGCUGAGGCGCGAAAGC